ACGAAAGAUUGAUUGGCCGGUAAGAAUCCACAACAAGUUGUUCUUCUAAGAUGUAUCUGAGGGUCUGUAGCUCAGUUGGUUAGAGCACACGCUUGAUAAGCGUGGGGUCACAAGUUCAAGUCUUGUCAGACCCACCAAGUCUACGGCAGAAAGAUACAUUAAUGAUAUAAGCUGGGGACUUAGCUUAGUUGGUAGAGCGCCUGCUUUGCACGCAGGAGGUCAGGAGUUCGACUCUCCUAGUCUCCACCAAAUUUCAAGAGCAGAAAAGCAACGCUUUUCCUUGAAAUUUAAGCAAACAGCUAUGCUGUGCGCAGGCACACAUAGGAUGGAGCUUGGAGCUAAGAAAAUUAUAGAGCUUAGUAAAUAUAAAGUUUAUUAACCUCUGUGAUUUAUCACAGUUUAGUGUGAUCUGACGAAGACACAUUAAUUCAUUAACAGAUUGGAAAAUAUUGAGUCUGAAAUAAAUUGUUCAAACUCGAUUAGAUAAGAAGCUAACAAGCAAUUGUUAGAUGAAUAUUUAAUCUUGAGAACUAGCAAAUUAACUGAAUCAAGCGUUUUGGUAUAUGAAUUUAGAUUGAAGCUGUACGGUGAUUAAGUUCACGAAACAACAAGCUGUGGAGCUAAGGUAACUUAGUUCUGUCUUAACCUGACUUGUAAGGGUUAACGACUGUUUGGGGUUGUAU
rnacentral:tRNA from 1 species